GAUGAACGCUGGCGGCGUGCUUAACACAUGCAAGUCGAGCGAAGCGGCUGAAUUGAUUCUUCGGAUGAUUUUCAGUUGACUGAGCGGCGGACGGGUGAGUAACGCGUGGGUGACCUGCCCCAUACCGGGGGAUAACAGUUGGAAACGGCUGCUAAUACCGCAUAAGCGCACGGCAUCGCAUGAUGCAGUGUGAAAAACUCCGGUGGUAUAAGAUGGACCCGCGUUGGAUUAGCUAGUUGGUGAGGUAACGGCCCACAAAGGCGACGAUCCAUAGCCGACCUGAGAGGGUGACCGGCCACAUUGGGGACUGAGACACGGGCCCAAACUCCUACGGGAGGCAGCAGUGGGGAAUAUUGCACAAUGGGCGAAAGCCUGAUGCAGCGACGCCGCGUGAGCGAAGAAGUAUUUCGGUAUGUAAAGCUCUAUCAGCAGGGAAGAUAAUGACGGUACCUGACUAAGAAGCACCGGCUAAAUACGUGCCAG
rnacentral:rRNA from 1 species